CCGCCCUUCAGCUUCUCGGCCCCGCAGCAAAGUCACCCGGUCACAGCCACCGUCGCACCCUUCCGCUACCGCCUUCAGGGUGACGGGGAGCAGGAGGAACGUCCCCAGGAGGAGCACACGUGGAAGGAACCCGCCAGCCCUGCGGAUGGGCCAGAACUGGGCUUCCCCGGCUGGGACACUGCUCUGCAGCGAGGAGGAAAGCAAUACCUAGAAGGAGAGGGAACUAGGAAGGAAGGAGGUAAGCGAAUUGCUACGUCUAAUUAGGGCCAGCGCAUUCGAGUGUUAGCGGUGGGGUGAGGCUGCCAAGCUCCCAUUGAUCGUGAGCGGCUCGCCCUGUUUGGUUAGCAGAAUUUAUGGCUGACAUUACAAGCAGGGCCCGUGCUUUGUAAUAGCAAUUCACAGCGUGCCUGGAGGCAGCCAAAUCCAGGCUGGGAAGCUUGGCCCAACAGCUGGGAGAGAGCCUCAAAGUACUUCGGCUACCUUCUCCCAGCUGCUGCCCUGGGGGUUCUCCCCUCAGCGGUCGCAAGCCGCAAGCCUGGCACGACGGGGGGAUGUUUUCACGUGCCCGUGAGGUGCGAUUUUCACUGGGAGCUGGCAGUGGGAUUCCCAGCUGGCGCUGAUGGCGGAGAUGGCUCCUAAAUUGAAGCCAGGAUCCAGUAGCCUUCGUGAAUGGCUUUGGGGCAGUUCUGAGCUGGCGCCAGGGUUGUGGCUAGCCCCCUUCGCAUAGGGUAUGUCUACAC